rnacentral:lncRNA from 1 species
CAUUUUCAGCUUCAAGAAGAAAGAAAUGUCGCAAUAAUUGACAUUGAAUCUUUAAGUUGUUUAUCUCGUAGAAUACACCAAAUGGUGUUUGUUCCAAGAAUUUUUGGAACCUGUCUUGGCCGAGGAAAGUAACGAGAUCACUGAACACAUUCAUGUUUGUACAUGAAGACCAAUGUGUGUGUACCUUCCUUGCCUAUAAAAUAACAUUGUUUAUACAAAACUAAAACAAACUUUACACAAAUCUUAUUCAAGUUUCAUUUCAACACUAU